AUAAAAUUUUAUUGACAGUGACUUCGAAUGUUUACCACUUGUAUAACUUAUUUGAGUUGUUUGAAUACCCCAUGCAAAUUAUUUGACAUUGCCCAGAGUAAGAGCUAUUCAACCGAGUCUAACUUAGGACUAAACCACGACAACAAUGUGAAACAGUACGGAAUUUUGGAGG